rnacentral:rRNA from 1 species
GACGAACGCUGGCGGCGUGCUUAACACAUGCAAGUCGAACGGAAAGGCCCUGCUUUUGUGGGGUUCUCGAGUGGCGAACGGGUGAGUAACACGUGAGUAACCUGCCCUUGACGUUGUGAUAACUUCAGGAAACUGCGGCUAAUACCGGAUAGGAGCUCCUGCUGCAUGGUGGGGGUUGGAAAGUUUCGGCGGUUGGGGAUGGACUCGCGGCUUAUCAGCUUGUUGGUGGGGUAGUGGCUUACCAGGGCUUUGACGGGUAGCCGGCAUGAGAGGGUGAACGGCCACAUGGGGCCUGAGAUACGGACCAGACUGCUACGGUAGGCAGCAGGGGGGAAUAUUGCACAGUGGGCGCACGCGUGUUGCAGAGACCCCGCGAGCGGGAUGACGGCCUUCGGGUUGUAAACCGCUUUAGCCUGUGACGAAGCGUGAGUGACGGUAAUGGGUAAAGAAGCACCGGCUAACUACGUG